AGGAGCAGUAUGAGGUGAAAAUCUCACGUACGGUUCUGUCGAGUGGUAGCAAGGGUGACUUAUCUGUCAACAGGAGGGGAAGGAGCGAAACUUCCCUCGUACCUAAAAAGUGCUGAGUUAGAAGGAUUUUACCAUUUUUCAU
rnacentral:ncRNA from 1 species